GGUCAAGCAAUUAAGCGUACGUGGUGGAUGCCUUGGCAGCCAGAGGCGAUGAAGGACGUGGUAGGCAGCGAAAUGCUUCGGGGAGCCGUCAAACAGGCUUUGAUCCGGAGAUGUCCGAAUGGGGAAACCCGGCCCACUUGUGGGUCAUCCUUAACUGAAUCCAUAGGUUAAGGAAGCGAACGCGGGGAACUGAAACAUCUAAGUACCUGCAGGAAAAGAAAUCAAUUGAGAUUCCCUAAGUAGCGGUGAGCGAACGGGGAAAAGCCCUUAAGCAAUUUUAGUGUUAGUGGAACGGUCUGGAAAGUCCGGCGACAGUGGGUGAUAGCCCCGUACACGAAAGCACUGGGAUUGUGAAAACGAGUAGGUCGAAACACGUGUAAUUUUGACUGAAGAUGGGGGGACCAUCCUCCAAGGCUAAAUACUCCUGGCUGACCGAUAGUGAACUAGUACCGUGAGGGAAAGGCGAAAAGAACCCCGGAGAGGGGAGUGAAAUAGACCCUGAAACCGCGUACGUACAAGCAGUCGGAGCAGGCAUUGUGUCCUGUGACGGCGUACCUUUUGUAUAAUGGGUCAGCGAGUUAAUGUCAGUAGCAAGGUUAACCGUGUAGGGGAGCCGUAGGGAAACCGAGUCUUAACUGGGCGAAUGAGUUGCUGGCAUUAGACCCGAAACCGGGCGAUCUACCCAUGGGCAGGUUGAAGGUGCCGUAACAGGCACUGGAGGACCGAACCGGGAUCUGUUGAAAAAGAUUCGGAUGACCUGUGGGUCGGAGUGAAAGGCUAAUCAAGCCCGGAGAUAGCUGGUUCUCCUCGAAAGCUAUUUAGGUAGCGCCUCGUGGAAUUGACUGCUGGGGGUAGAGCACUGUGUCGGCUAGGGGGUCAUCCCGACUUACCAACCCGAUGCAAACUCCGAAUACCAGUAAGUUUUAUCACGGGAGACAGACGGCGGGUGCUAACGUCCGUCGUCAAGAGGGAAACAACCCAGACCGCCAGCUAAGGUCCCAAAUAUCAGUUAAGUGGGAAACGAUGUGGGAAGGCUCAGACAGCUAGGAGGUUGGCUUAGAAGCAGCCAUCCUUUAAAGAAAGCGUAAUAGCUCACUAGUCGAGUCGGCCUGCGCGGAAGAUAUAACGGGGCUCAAACUGAUAACCGAAGCUGCGGAUACGUGCACUUCAUUAAAACCAUUUGUAAGGCAAGCUCCUGUCGCGCGUUAGCGCGACAGUCAAGCACCCCCCAACGUCGAGUCGGGGGUAAAGCUCCUGGCGCGCGUUAGCGCGACAGUCAAGCACCCCCGAACGUUGAGUCGGGUGCAGGAAGUGGGUUUAAUGAAGUGCACGUAUGGUAGAGGAGCGUUGUGUAGGCCGUUGAAGGUGAAUCGAGAGGUUUGCUGGAGGUAUCACAAGUGCGAAUGCUGACAUGAGUAACGAUAAGGGGGGUGAAAAACCUCCCCGCCGGAAGAUCAAGGUUUCCUGUCCAACGUUAAUCGGGACAGGGUGAGUCGGCCCCUAAGGCGAGAGCGAGAGCUGUAGUCGAUGGGAAAUCGGUUAAAAUUCCGAUACCGGCUGUUACUGCGAUGGAGUGACGGAGAAGGCUAGGCCAGCGCGGCGUUGGUUGUCCGCGUUUAAGGUAGUAGGCUGAGGGUUUAGGUAAAUCCGGACCCUUAAGGCUGAGAGCUGAUGACGAUCCUGUUUUUAAACGGGAGAAGUGGUUGAUGCCCUGCUUCCAGGAAAAACUUCUAAGCUUCAGGUAACAGACGACCGUACUGUAAACCGACACAGGUGAUCAGGUAGAGAAUACCAAGGCGCUUGAGAGAACUUGGGUGAAGGAACUAGGCAAAAUGGUACCGUAACUUCGGGAGAAGGUACGCUCCUUUUGGUGAACUAUUUACUAGGUAAGCUGAGAGGAGUCGAAGUGACCAGGUGGCUGCAACUGUUUAUUAAAAACACAGCACUGUGCAAACACGUAAGUGGACGUAUACGGUGUGACGCCUGCCCGGUGCCGGAAGGUUAAUUGAUGGGGUUAGCGUAAGCGAAGCUCUUGAUCGAAGCCCCGGUAAACGGCGGCCGUAACUAUAACGGUCCUAAGGUAGCGAAAUUCCUUGUCGGGUAAGUUCCGACCUGCACGAAUGGCGUAAUGAUGGCCACGCUGUCUCCACCCAAGACUCAGUGAAAUUGAAAUCGCUGUUAAGAUGCAGUGUACCCGCGGCUAGACGGAAAGACCCCGUGAACCUUUACUAUAGCUUCACACUGGACUUUGACACUAUCUGUGUAGGAUAGGUGGGAGACUUUGAAGCAGGUGCGCCAGCACUUGUGGAGUCAUCCUUGAAAUACCACCCUGGUAUUGUUGAGGUUCUAACUCAGUGCCUGAAACGGGCACGAGGACCGUGUGUGGUGGGUAGUUUGACUGGGGCGGUCUCCUCCCAAAGUGUAACGGAGGAGCACGAAGGUACCCUAAGAGCGGUCGGAAAUCGCUCGUUUAGUGUAAUGGCAUAAGGGUGCUUGACUGCGAGAGCGACGGCUCGAGCAGGUACGAAAGUAGGUCAUAGUGAUCCGGUGGUUCUGAAUGGAAGGGCCAUCGCUCAACGGAUAAAAGGUACUCCGGGGAUAACAGGCUGAUACCGCCCAAGAGUUCACAUCGACGGCGGUGUUUGGCACCUCGAUGUCGGCUCAUCACAUCCUGGGGCUGAAGCCGGUCCCAAGGGUAUGGCUGUUCGCCAUUUAAAGUGGUACGCGAGCUGGGUUUAGAACGUCGUGAGACAGUUCGGUCCCUAUCUGCCGUGGGCGUUGGAGAUUUGAGAGGAGCUGCUCCUAGUACGAGAGGACCGGAGUGGACGAACCUCUGGUGUUCGGGUUGUCACGCCAGUGGCAUUGCCCGGUAGCUAUGUUCGGACAGGAUAACCGCUGAAAGCAUCUAAGCGGGAAGCCUCCCUCAAGACGAGAUCUCCCUGGGGCCUUGAGCCCCCUGAAGUGCCGUUCGAGACCAGGACGUUGAUAGGCUGGGUGUGUAAGCGUUGUGAGGCGUUGAGCUAACCAGUACUAAUUGCACGUGAGGCUUGACCAU
rfam:Pseudohongiella spirulinae strain KCTC 32221, complete genome.